AACGCACAUUGCGCCCCCUGGUAUUCCGGGGGGCAUGCCUGUCCGAGCGUCAUUACUGCCCUCAAGCGCGGCUUGUGUGUUGGGCCUUCGCCCCCCCGGGGGCGUGCCCGAAAGGCAGUGGCGGCGCCGUGCCCGGUCCUCGAGCGUAUGGGGCUUUGUCACCCGCUCUGGAGGCCCGGCCGGCCGCCGCCGACCCGCCCAGACCUUUAACCGGUUGACCUCGGAUCAGGCAGGGAUACCCGCUGAACUUAA
rnacentral:misc_RNA from 1 species